UGUGUUCUGGGGGAGACAAAAGGCCACCUGCGUUUUCUCCAAGCUUCAUUCUAGGAGGAAUGGACAAGAUCCUGAAAGCAUCAUUUGUAGUCCUAGCCCUUCACCCAGCCUGGGUGAGUGGCCAGAAGGAGAGACGUGACCAGCAGCAAGUGAGACAAAGUCCCCAAUCUCUGUCAGUCUGGGCAGGAGGGACUUCAGUUCUGAACUGCACUUAUGAGAACAGUGCAUUUGACUACUUCCCAUGGUACAGGCAGAUCCCUGGAGGAGGCCCUGCACUCCUGAUAGCCAUACGUUCAGUGUCGAAUAAAAAGGAAGAUGGAAGAUUCACAGUCUUCUUCAGUGAAAGUGAUAAACAGCUUUCCUUGCACAUCACAGAUUCUCAGCCUGGAGACUCAGCCACCUACUUCUGUGCAGCAAGUGCACAGUGCUCUCCAGGCACCUGCAGCCCACACCCAAACCUGCAGCUGAGGCUACAGGAAAACCCUGCUGUGGGGCUGAGCCUGGCAGAGGUGCAGAGCAGUUUUCAUUUGGUGGAGUAGGUGACUGGUGACACAGUGAGUGUAAAGAGUAGACUCAUUCAGCCACAGACAGAACAAGCUGAAGUCAUGGCUGCUUUUUUCCAGUCUCCCUUUGUGUCUCAGACACUACUGGAAUUUUACAUUCAUUUCCAUAUCUAGUUUAGUUGAAUAGUUUACUGAGUAGUUGUGUAAAUAGUUCUCUGUGUGGUUGGUUUGUACCAAUUUAAAUUAUAUAAGGCUCCAUCUUCCUAAACUCUUGUCAACAAUGUUAGUGUAUGAUUAUCACAGUCCAAUACCAGUACACUUUGAUUUUGGCUUCUGUAAUAGAAAUCACAUAGAAUUGUCUUUUACCUUAGUUUCCUCUGAUGACCAGGGAAGUGGUGAUUUAUGUGACCACAGCCUCUUAUUUAAGAAAUCUCAGAAAUACAAAUGAAAUAUUGUAAGUUGAUAUUCUCAAAUUC